GAUGAAGAACGCAGCGAAAUGCGAUACUUGGUGUGAAUUGCAGAAUCCCGUGAACCAUCGAGUCUUUGAACGCAAGUUGCGCCCGAAGCCAUUAGGCCGAGGGUACGCCUGCCUGGGCGUCACACGUCGUUGCCCCCCCAUCUACUCCUUCGGGAUUGCGGGGGGCGGAUGAUGGCCUCCCGUGCGCCUCGUCGCGCGGUUGGCCUAAAUGCCAAGUCCUCGGCGACGCACGCCACGACAAUCGGUGGUUGCGAAACCUCGGUUGCCUGUCGUGUGCGGUCGUCGCGCAUCGAGGGCUCGAAAAAAUUGCCGGGCUUCGGCUCGACUUUCAACGCGACCCCAGGUCAGGCGGGGUUACCCGCUGAAUUUAAGCAUAUCAAUAAGCGGAGGA
rnacentral:misc_RNA from 1 species